rnacentral:rRNA from 1 species
UCUAAGCUAAAAAAGGUAAUACUUAUCAGGAAACCUAUACUCUUUGGCGGCCUUUUUUCUUAUUGAAGGAACUUGUUCAUUAAUCGAAAUUACCCGUUCGUUUUCUCUUUUAUUGUGUUUUUAUACCGUCGUCUUAAGAAUAUUGUUAAAUAUAUUAUUCUAUCCUGAACAUCUAAAUAAGUCAGAUCAAGGUGAAGCUUAUAUGAAAGACAUGGGUGAGUUAUGUCUAAGAACUACUAAGGGCCCCUACUUUAAAAAGAUGUAUAAAUUAAGAUUCGACAGUACCUUAUCUUCAAAAAAUUUCAGGGAAGAAGUAAAAAUAGGUGU